ACUAGAAAUAGCCCAAAUAAACUCCAAAUUAUUACCCUAAAGUAAUCCAACAAAUCAUUUAUAAAAUAAAAGUAUAGGUGAUAGAAAUUAUAAUUGACGCUAUAGAAAUAGUACCGCAAGGGAAAAAAUGAAAGAGAGCUGUAAGUAAAUAACAGCAAAGCUUAACCCUUGUACCUUUUGCAUAAUGACUCAACUAGAAAAUAUUUGCAAAAAGAAUUUAAGUUAAUAUACCCGAAACCAGACGAGCUACCCCCUAGCAGUUCAACAGGACAAACUCAUCUAUGUGGCAAAAUAGUGAGAAGACUAGAGGGUAGAGGCGAAAAACCUAUCGAGCCUGGUGAUAGCUGGUUGUCCAGAGUAGAAUCUUAGUUCUAAUUUAAAUUUACCAAAAAACACACAAAUUAAAAUGUAAAUUUAAAUAAUAGUCUAAAAGGGUACAGCCUUUUAGAUACAGGGUACAACCUUUAUUAGAGAGAAAAUAAAUAAAUGAGACUAUCCUAGUUGGCCUAAAAGCAGCCACCAAGCAAGACAGCGUUCAAGCUCGAUAGUGUAUAAUAACUAAUCCCAUCUAUCUACAAAAUACUCCUAAUAUACAACUGGACCAUUCUAUUUUUAUAUAGAAGAAAUAAUGUUGAUAUGAGUAACAAGAAUUAUUUCUCCAUGCAUACGUGUAUAUCAGAACGAAUUCAUCACUGAUAAUUACCAGAAGGGCAUAAUUAAAAAAUCAAAACCCCAACAUAAACUGUUAACCCAACACAGGAAUGCAAGCAAGGAAAGAUUAAAAGAAGUAAAAGGAACUCGGCAAAAAUAAAUCCCGCCUGUUUACCAAAAACAUCACCUCUAGCAUAAAAAGUAUUAGAGGCAACGCCUGCCCAGUGACAUUAGUUUAACGGCCGCGGUAUCCUGACCGUGCAAAGGUAGCAUAAUCACUUGUUCUCUAAAUAAGGACUGGUAUGAACGGCUCCACGAGGAUCUUACUGUCUCUUACUUCCAAUCAGUGAAAUUGACCCCCCCGUGAAGAGGCGGGGAUACAUAAAUAAGACGAGAAGACCCUAUGGAGCUUCAAUUAAUUAGCCCAUGAAUAAGAACAACACUCUAUAAGAGAUCAACUACCCAUCAACUGGGCUAACAAUUUAGGUUGGGGUGACCUCGGAAUAAAAAAUAACUUCCAAGAAAUUUCAAUCAAGACCUACAAGUCAAAAUUAUUACAUAAUUAUAUUGACCCCGCCCAUAAGCGAUCAACGAAAUAAGUUACCCUAGGGAUAACAGCGCAAUCCUAUUUAAGAGUCCAUAUCGACAAUAGGGUUUACGACCUCGAUUGUUGGAUCAGGACAUCCCAAUGGUGCAGCAGCUAUUAAUGUGUUCGUUUGUUCAACGAUUAAAGUCCUACGUGAUCUGAGUUCAGACCGGAGCAAUCCAGGUCGGUUUCUAUCUAUUUCAAGGUCUUUCCCAGUACGAAAGGAUAAGAAAGACGAGGUCAACUUAAAAUCAAGCACCUUACAAGACAGAUGAACUAAUCUUAAUCUAACAGUUUAAUUUAUAGCCCUAGAGAAGGGCU
rnacentral:rRNA from 1 species